rnacentral:lncRNA from 10 species
GCGCUCUCGGGCAGCUGCAGCGGCCACCUGGAGAGCAGUGAAGCCAGUGCGCCGCCCACCUGGAAAGAUUCUCUCUAGAUCCAAAGAAAAACAAGAGGGUUCUUUUUGCCUUCUACUCCUCAAAACACACCAGCAGCUCAGCAAUUGGAGGGGAGGCUGAAGGACAAAAACAUUGCUAUCCCAUAGAGCAACGGUAUAAGAGCCAAUAGAGACUCCUGGCGCUGGAAGUCACGGAUCCGAAAGAAGGCGCCCAAUCAUUUGGUUUCUUUGGAUCGUUAUUGAGUCUUCUGUCAUCAUAGUUCACCCUCCUACUCGAAUGCCUCCCGUGGGGCCCUUACCCUUGCUCUCCUCUGCCUGGAAUGCCCGCCUCUUCUUGCAUUCAAGCCCCUGGGUUCUAUUCAGAUGCUCCAGUUACAAAUGAUAGAUCCAAAAUUGUCUUCUGGAAGAAACAUCACAAAACUUCAAAGAGUUGGAGAUCUCAAUAUGUUGCCCAGGCUGGUCUUGAACUCCUAGAAACAAGGGAUCCUCCUUCCUCGGUCUUCCAAAAUGUUGGGAUUAAAGGCAUUAGCCACCAAGCUUGGCCAAGAAUCUCUAAAUCUUUAGAGAAAAAAUCAAGUAACAGAAUAUCGUAUUGAGGCAUGAAGUUUCAAGACAUAUAUGACCCUACUGCCAUCCCAGUGUACGCGUGUGUGUGGGCAUGGAGAAUAUGCAAAUUGGCUUAGAGAAAUUAGAAAAAAGUUACCUACAUAGGCAGAGAAUUCAACUGUGAGUUGACAAUUAUUUACGAUUCUCUUAACUGGCUGUUUCACAACGUUAUGGAGCUAAGAAAGGAUGAAAGCUUACCACUGCUUGGAUACCAGCUUGAUAAGCAGCUUGGAAUGUCAAAUAUAUAACAAGAAAGGAAAUAUUCUACUUUAAAGGAACAU